GAUGAACGCUGGCGGCGUGCCUAAUACAUGCAAGUCGAGCGAACGGACGAGAAGCUUGCUUCUCUGAUGUUAGCGGCGGACGGGUGAGUAACACGUGGAUAACCUACCUAUAAGACUGGGAUAACUUCGGGAAACCGGAGCUAAUACCGGAUGAUAUUUUGAACCGCAUGGUUCAAAAGUGAAAGACGGUCUUGCUGUCACUUAUAGAUGGAUCCGCGCUGCAUUAGCUAGUUGGUAAGGUAACGGCUUACCAAGGCAACGAUGCAUAGCCGACCUGAGAGGGGGAUCGGCCACCCUGGAACGGAGCCACGGUCCAGCCCCCUACGGGAGGCAGCAGUAGGGAAUCUUCCGCAAUGGGGGAAAGCCUGACGGAGCACCGCCGGGGGAGUGAUGAAGGGCUUCGGAUCGAAAACCCCUUUUAUUAGGGAAAAACAUUUGUGUAAGUAACUGGGCACAUCUUGACGGUACCAAAUCAGAAAGCCACGGCUAACUAGGU
rnacentral:rRNA from 1 species